ACGAACGCUGGCGGCGUGCUCAACACAUGCAAGUCGAGCGGAAAGGCCCUUCGGGGUACUCGAGCGGCGAACGGGUGAGUAACACGUGAGUAACCUGCCCUAGGCUUUGGGAUAACCCCGGGAAACCGGGGCUAAUACCGGAUAUGACCUGGUGCCGCAUGGUGUUGGGUGGAAAGUUUUUUCGGCCUGGGAUGGGCUCGCGGCCUAUCAGCUUGUUGGUGGGGUGAUGGCCUACCAAGGCGAUGACGGGUAGCCGGCCUGAGAGGGCGACCGGCCACACUGGGACUGAGACACGGCCCAGACUCCUACGGGAGGCAGCAGUGGGGAAUAUUGCACAAUGGGCGGAAGCCUGAUGCAGCGACGCCGUGUGAGGGAUGAAGGCCUUCGGGUUGUAAACCUCUUUCAGCAGGGACGAAGCGUGAGUGACGGUACCUGCAGAAGAAGCGCCGGCCAACUACGUG
rnacentral:rRNA from 1 species